ACACCUCUAUGCAAACUCUCUCAAACGUUGGACAUUUAAAAGAUAAAUGUUGGUCUCAUUCAAACCACACACAUUUUAAUAAACAUACAAAUGAAGCAAUUGUUGCGAGUGUUGGAGAGUUUGGAGGGAAUUUUGGGAGUAACAACAAGUUAAUGUUUAUAAGAGAAGAAGACAGUUGUGCUCCCUAACAAGUCGAACCACAGUUUUCAUACCACUUGUUGGAGAUGCUACUUGUUGGAAAGUCUAAGAAAGUGUUAGGAAUAACAAAAUGUCAAUGCUCUAUGAUCACAAGAGAGGAAGAACCUCUGCUCCACCACAAAGCCGAACCACGACUCUUAUACCACUUACUGAAGAUACAUCGGUUGGUUCAUGAGAGAGCGGUUCGGGGGAUCAUCCACAUAUUUACCUAAAACCUUAAAGACAUUAGAUUUAUGAGUCCUCAUUUAUAAAAUGAUCAACGUCCAUUUUUUUAAGCAAUGUGAGACUUAACCCACCUUACACUUACCACAACAACUUCACUCUUAAUGCGAGUCAUCAAUUCAUUAUACUCAUAUACCCCCUUAAGCAGAAACUUUCUUUUCAUCCAUACAGUUGCACCGCAUUCGCUGUUCUCAAUAGGACACGCCCUCUGAUCACUUUUGUCAGGACGACUUUCGAUACAAUGAGUUGAUUGAAUCAUUUGUCAAACCAUCGGCUCUGAUACUACUCUUGAGUCAUGAUAGGGCAAUAUGAGGGAUCAUCCACAUUAGGCUUAAGAGCAACCAUACAAGUGAGUUAGACACCACAUCUUUACCCAAAGUUUUAAGGCAUUUUAGGUUUAUGGGUCCUCUCAUUUAUAAAGUAUUCAACUUAUCCAUUUUUCCAAGUAAUGUGAGACUUAACUCACUUCACACGUGUCACAACAACUACUUGUUGGGAAGUCCGAUGGAGCACCGAGAGUUUCAAAUUAAAGUCUCAAUGUUUCAAGACCACAAAAGAGAAAGAUGUCACAUCUUCAUCCAAAACUUUAAGGCAUUAUUAGGUGUAUGGAAUAUCUCUUUCUUAUAUAUUGAACAUUAUUUACAUUUCAAUCGAUAUGAACUUUAAUCACUUACACGUAAAACCAAUAGACUUUGUGCCUUCAUCACUAUACAUCAAUAAUCUAUAUGCCUCCUCGAGAGAAUAUAUAUAUAUAUAUAUAUAUAUAUUACUUUAUUACUUUGAUUAUAGUUUCAGCACCAAUUGUCGUCCAAAUUAUCCUACAAAACAAUGUUAUCCAAAAUAGACACACAUCCCCAGCAACGAUAUCCUUUUACAUUGAAAUAAGCCUCUUCUAAAGACGGGAUAUAAAUCGCCACUUAUUGUAGAAUCACACAUAGUAAAAUAUAUGGCAUUACACCACAUUUUGCCUAAUUUGAAUUGAAAAACAUUAUGCUAUGAAUUUAUAUAUACUUCUAUUACUUGCUAUAGUAUGAUGGGUAUUAAUUAUACUUUACGCUCAUACUUGUCUUCCAUAAUAUGUCCAUAUUUAUUUUCUAUGCUUUCUCAAUUCUCACAUAUAUUUUUUUCCAUAUAUACAAAUUAAUAAACAAAUACGUGCAUGUGAACAUGUUUUGUGUUUGUUGGUAAGUUAAUUUAGUUUAGAAGAGUGUUGAAGCAUAUUGUAUAUGUAUUUGCACAUAUAUAUACAUAUAUACAGUUGAAAAAUAUUAAUGAAAUAAACAAAUAUUAUACAUAUCAUAUAAAAAAAAAUUAGACAUAUAUGAUAAAAAAGAGAUAAUUAGAGAUGAAAAUUAAGUCUAUACCUUGAAAUUGAGAUUGAGAUAUGUUGACCAGAAGUGGAGCUAGGAAGUUAAUUAUCUGUUGGCAAUUGAGUGAUUGAAGCUGCAAGAUGACCUGAUGGAACCACAUCUUAUAACCAAAAUUGCCUUAAAGGAUUAUUAAUCCAUUUGUCUUUGUGAAAAUAAAUCUUUUAAAUAAAAUAACCAAUUUUAAAUGUUUUUAUCUGUUUGUAACAAGUUUUUUUUUUUUUAAAUGAAAAUCUAAAGAUGAAAACAAAAAUUAUUUCAAAUGAGAAAUUACUUUUAGUAAGUUUUUAUUUUCCUUUCAAAAUACUUUUUGAUAACUGAUUUUUUUUAAAAAAAUAAAUUUUAUCAUAGAAAUCAAACAUAAAAAGUUUCUAUUUCACUAAAAAAAUAAAAAAAUUAAUUAAUUUAAAAAUUAUUUAAUAUCAAAAUUACUCGAGUCAUAAAUUCGAAUAUAAAUUUAAUAGUUUUUUUUUUAUAAACGUGUGUAAAUUAUAUAUUAGGCAUAUAUAAUAUACAUAUAUAACAUAGAAAUUUAAUAGAUAAUUUUUGUAAUAGUGGUGAUGAAUAUAAGAAUUAAGCUUACAUAAAAGAAAAAUUAUAGAGUGUGGUUAAUUAAUUAC
rnacentral:lncRNA from 1 species